AACUGUUAUAGUUCAGUUGGUAGAGCGUUGGACAUCAAACCGAAGGACGCGGGUUCGAUUCCCACAGGGGUCA